AUUCUUACCUGGCAGGGGAGAUACCAUGAUCACGAAGGUGGUUUUUCCAGGGCAAGGCUCAUCCAUUGCACUCCGGAUGUGCUGACCCCUGUGAUUUCCCCAAAUGUGGGAAACUCAGCCACAUAAUUUGUGGUAGUGGCAGGGGGAAGAAACAGCCAU
rfam:Camelus ferus unplaced genomic scaffold scaffold490, whole genome shotgun sequence.